rnacentral:rRNA from 1 species
AGAGCGAACGCUGGCGGCAGGCUUAACACAUGCAAGUCGAGCGCCCGUAGCAAUACGGGAGCGGCAGACGGGAUAGUAACACGUGGGAACGCGCCCUUCGGUUCGGAAUAACUCAGGGAAACUUGAGCUAAUACCGAAUACGCCCUUACGGGGAAAGAUUUAUUGCCGAAGGAACGGCCCGCGUCCGAUUAGCUAGUUGGUGAGGUAAUGGCUCACCAAGGCUACGAUCGGUAGCUGGUCUGAGAGGAUGACCAGCAUCACUGGGACUGAGACACGGCCCAGACUCCUACGGGAGGCAGCAGUGGGGAAUAUUGGACAAUGGGCGCAAGCCUGAUCCAGCCAUGCCGCGUGGAUGAUGAAGGCCUUAGGGUUGUAAAGUCCUUUUAACGGGGAAGAUAAUGACGGUACCCGUAGAAUAAGCCCCGGCUAACUUCGUGCCAGCAGCCGC